CAACAAUCACGUUCACUGGGGGUUCAGUCUUGCAGGACCAAGGGCUUCCCCUUCCACUGGUGCUCUUACUAGGCUAUUCAUUGCUACCUAUGAGGUCAGAGUCCAGGGUCAGUCCAUGUAUAGUCUUUGGGUAGUGGCUUAGUCCCUGGAAGCUCUGGUUUGUUGGCAUUGUUGUUCAUAUGGGGUGUCGAGCCCCUUCGAGCUCUUUCAGUACUUUCUCUGAUUCCUUCAACAGGGGUCCCGUUCUCAGUUCAGUGGUUUGCUGCAGGCAUUCGCCUAUGUAUUUGCUGCAUUCUGGCUGUGUCUCUCAGGAGAGAUCUACGUUGGGUUCCUGUCAUCAUGCACUUCUUUGCUUCAGUCAUCUUAUCUAGUGGAUGUAUAUGUAUGGGCCACAUGUGGGACAGGCUCUGAAUGUUCCCCUUUUAAAGAAGGAGUGAAGCCUUCCCAUUUUGGUCAUCCUUCUUCAGUUUCAUGUGUUCUGUGCGUCUAGGGUAAUUCGAGCAUUUGGGCUAAUAGCCACUUAUCAAUGAGUGCAUACCAUGUGUGUUUUUCUGUGAUUGGGUUACCUCACUCAGGAUGAUAUUUCCGGUUCCAUCCAUUUGCCUAUGGAUUUCGUGAAGUCAUUAUUUUGGAUAGCUGAGGAGUAUUCCAUUGUGUAGAUGUACCACAUUUUCUGUAUCCAUUCCUCUAUUGAAGGGCAUCUAGGUUCUUUCCAGCUUGUGGCUAUUAUGAAUAAGCCUGCUAUGAACACAGUGGAGAAUGUGUCUUUGUUUUAUGUUUGAGCAUCUUUUGGGUAUAUGCCCAAGAGAGGUAUAGCUGAGUACUCAUGGAGUGCAAUGUCCAAUUUUCUGAGGAAGCUCCAGACUGAUUUCCACAAUGGUUGUACCAGUCUGCAAUCCCACCAACAAUUGAGUGUUCCUCUUUCUCCACAUCCUCGCCAGCAUCUUCUGUCACCUGAGUUUUUGAUCUUAGCCAUUAUGACUGGUGUGAGGUAGAAUCUCACGGUUGUUUUGAUUUGCAUUUCCCUUAUGACUAAAGAUGUUGAACAUUUCUUUAGGUGUUUCUCAGCCAUUCGGCAUUCCUAAGCUGUGAAUUCCUUGUUUAGCUCUGAACCCCAUUUUUUGAUAGGGUUAUUUGUCUCCCUGCAGUCUAACUUCUUGAGUUCUUUGUAUAUUUUGGAUAUAAGCCCUCUAUCAGUUGUAGGAUUGGUAAAGAUAUUUUCCCAAUCUGUUGGUUGCCUUUUUUCCUAACAACAGUGUCCUUUGCCUUACAGAAGCUUUGCAGUUUUAUGAGAUCCCAUUUGUUGAUUCUUGAUCUUAGAGCAUAAGCCAUUGGUGUUUUGUUCAGGAAAUGUUCUCCAGUGCCCAUGUGUUCGAAAUGCUUCCCCACUUUUUCUUCUAUUAGUUUGAGUGUAUCUGGUGGUCUUUGAUCCACUUGGACUUAAGGUUUGUACAGGGUGAUAAGCAUGGAUCGAUCUGCAUUCUUCUACAUGCUGACCUCCAGUUGAACCAGCACUCUCUGCUAAAAAUGGUAUCUUUUUUCCAUUGGGUGGUGUUAGAUCCUUUGUCAAAAAUCAAGUGCCCAUAGGUGUGUGGGUUCAUUUCUGGAUCUUCAAUUCUAUUCCACUGGUCGAUCUGUUUGUCUCUGUACCAAUACCAUGCAGUUUUUAUCACUAUUGCUCUGUAAUAUUGCUUGAGUUCAGGGAUAGUGAUUCCCCCUGAAGUCCUUUUAUUGUUGAGGAUAGUUUUAGCUAUCCUGGGUUUUUUGUUAUUCCAGAUGAAUUUGCAAAUUAUUCUGUCUAAAUCUAUGAAGAAUUGGGUUGGAAUUUUGGUGGGGAUUGCAUUGAAUUUGUAUAUCGCUUUUGGUAAAAUGGCCAUUUUUACUAUAUUAAUCCUGCCAAUCUGUGAGCAUGGGAGAUCUUUCCAUCUUCUGAGAUCUUCUUGAAUUUCUUUCUUCAGAGGCUUGUAGUUCUUAUCAUGCCGAUCUUUGACUUGCUUGGUUAAAGUCAUACCAAGUUAUUUUAUAUCAUUUGGGACUAUUAUGAAGGGUGUCGUUUCCCUAAUUUCUUUCUCGGCUAGUUUCUCUUUUGUGUAAAGGAAAGGUACUGAUUUAUUUGAGUUAAUUUUAUACCUAGCCACUUUGCUGAAGGUGUUUAUCCGGUUUAGUGGUUCUCUGGUGGAACUUUUGGGAUCACUUAAGUAUACGAUCUUUAUCGUCUGUAAAUAGUGAUAUUUUGACUUCUUCCUUUCCAAUCUGUAUCCUUUUGAUCUCCUUUUGUUGUCUGAUUGCUCUGUCUAGAAAUUUGAGAACUAUAUUGAAUAAGCAGGGAGAGAGGGGGCAGCCUUGUCUAGUCCCUGAUUUUAGUGGGAUUGCUUCAAGUUUCUCUCCAUUUAGUUUAAUGUUAGCGACUGGUUUUAGUAUGUUUAGGUAUGGGCCUUGAAUUCCUGUUCUUUCCAGGACUUUUAUCAUGAAGGGGUGUUGAAUUUUGUCAAAUGCUUUCUCAGCAUCUAAUGAAAUGAUCAUGUGGUUUUUAUCUUUCAAUUUGUUUAUAUAGUGGGUUAUGUUGAUGGUUUUCCGUAUAUUAAACCAUCCCUGCAUCCCUGGUAUGAAGCCUACUUGAUCAUGAUGGAUGAUUGUUUUGAUGUGCUCUUGGAUUCUCUUUGCCAGAAUUUUAUUGAGUAUAUUUGCAUUGAUUUUCAGAAGGGAAAUUGGACUGAAGUUCUCUUUCUGUGUUGGGUCUUUGUGUGGUUUAGGUAUAAGAGUAAUUGUUCCUUCAUAGAAGGAAUUCGGUAGCACUCUGUCUGUUUCAAUUUCAUGGAAUAGUUUGGAUACUAUUGGUAUGAGGUCUUCUAUGAAGGUCUGAUAGAAUUCUGCAGUGAACCCAUCUAGGCCUGGGCUCUUUUUGGUUGGGAGACUUUUAAUGACUGUUUCUAUUUUUUAUGAAUUAUGGAGUUGUUUAAGUGGUUUAUCUGUUCCUGAUUUAACUUCGGUACCUGGUAUCUGUCUAGGAAUUUGUCCAUUUCCUGCAGAUUUUCAAGUUUUGUUGAAUAUAGGCUUUUGUAGUAGGAUCUGAUGAUUUUUUGAAUUUCCUCUGAUUCUGUAGUUAUGUCUCCAUUUUCAUUUCUGAUUUUGUUACUUUGGACACACUCUCUGUGUCCUCUCAUUAGUCUAGCUAAGGGGUUUACCUAUCUUGUUGAUUUUCUCAAAGAAGCAGCUUUUGAUUCUGAUGAUUCUUUGUAUAGUCAUAUUUGUUUCUACUUGGUUGAUUUCAGCUCUGAGUUUGAUUAUUUCCUGCCUUCUACUCCUCCUGGGUGAGUUUGCUUCUUUUUGUUCUAGAGAGUUUAGAUGUCCUGUCAAGCUGCUGAUAUAUGCUUUCUCCUGUUUCUUUCUGCAAGCACUCAUAGCUAUGAGUUUUCCUCUUAGCACAGCUUUUAUUGUGUCCCAUAAGUUUGGGUAUGUUGUACCUUUGUUUUGAAUUAAUUCUAAGAAAGUCUUUAAUUUCUUUAUUUUUUCCUUGACCAGGUUAUCAUUGAGUAGAGCACUUUUCAACUUCCAUGUAUAUGUGGGAAUUCUUUCCUUACUGUUAUUGAAGACCAGCUUUAGCCCGUGGUGGUCUGAUAGGAUGCAUGGGAUUCUUUCUUUCUUUCUGUAUCCGUUGAGGACUGUUUUAUGACCGAUUAUAUGGUCAAUUUUGGAGAAAGUACCAUGAGGUGGUGAGAAGGAGGUAUCUCCUUUUGUUUUAGGAUAGAAUGUUCUUUAAAUAUCUGUUAAGUCCAUUUAGUUCAUGACUUCUCUUAGUCUGUCUAUGUCUCUGUUUAAUUUCUGUUUCCAUGAUCUGUCCAUUGAUGAGAGUGGAGUGUUGAAAUCUCCUACUAUUAUUGUGUGAGGUGCAGUGUGUGCUUUGAGCAUUAGUAAGGUUUCUUUCAUGUAUGUAGGAGCCCUUUUAUUGGAGCAUAGAUAUUUAGGAUUGAGAGUUCAUCUUGGUGGACUUUUCCUUUGAUGACAAUGAAGUGUCCUUUUUUGUCUUUUUUGAUGACUUUUGGUUGAAAUCUAUUUUAUUUGAUAUUAGAAUAUCAGCUUGUUUGUCCAGACCAUUUGCUUCGAAAGUUGUUUUCCAGCCUUUUACUGUGAGUUAGUGUCUGUCUUUGUCCCUGAGGUGUGUUUCCUGUAGGCAGCAAAAUGUUGGUUCCUCAUUGUGUAUCCAGUUUUUUUUAUCUGUGUCUUUUUAUUGGGGAAUUGAGUCCAACGAUGUUGAGAAAUAUUAAGUAAUAGUGAUUGUUGUUUCCUUUUAUAUUCAUGUUUGGGUGUGAGAUUAUGUUUGUGAUUUUGUUCCCUUUGUUUUGUUGCAAAACGAUUAGUUUCUUGCUUUGUUUAGGGUGUAGCAUGCUUCUGUGUGUUGGGCUUUACCAUUUAUUAUCCGUUGUAGAGCUGAAUUUGUAGAAAGAUAUUGUAUAAAUUUGGUUUUUUCAUGGAAUAUCUUGGUUUCUCCAUUUAUGUUAAUUGAGAGUUUUGCUGGACACAGUAACUUGGGCCGGCAUUUGUAUUCUCUUAGGGUCUGUAUGACAUCUGUCCAGGAUCUUCUGGCUUUCCUAGUCUCUGGUGAGAAGUCUGGUGUAAUUCUGAUAAGUCUGCUUUUAUAUGUUACUUGACCUUUUUCCCUUAGUGCUUUUAAUAUUUUUUCUUUGUUUUGUGCAUUUGAUGUUUUGAGUAUUAUGUGACAGGAGGAGUUUCUUUUCUGGUCCAAUCUAUUUGGAGUUCUUGUAGGUUUCUUGUAGGUUUAUGGGUGUCUCUUUCUUUAGGCUAGGGAAGUUUUCUUCUAUGAUUUUGUUGAAGAUAUUUACUGGUCCUUUGAGUUGGGAGUCUUCACUCUCUUCUAUACCUAUUAUCCUUAGGUUUGAUCUUCUCAUUGUGUCCUGGGCUUCCUGAAUGUUUUGGGCCAGUAUCUUUUUCCAUUUUACAUUAUCUUUGACAGUUGUGUCGAUGAUUUCUAUGGAAUCUUCUGCUCCUGAGAUUCUCCUUUCUAUCUCUUGCAUUCUGUUGGUGAUGCCUGUCUCUAUGGCUCCUUGUCUCUUCCUUUGGUUUUCUAUAUCCAGGGUUGUCUCCGUUCGUGCUUUCUUUGUUGCUUUUUUUUUUCCAUUUUUAAUUCCUUCACCUGUUUGAUUUUGUUUCCAUAUAAUUCUUUCAGGGAUUUUUGUGAUUCCUCUCUAUAGGCUUCUGCUUGUUUAUUUGUGUUUUCCUCUAUUUCUCUAAGGGAGUUCUUUAUGUCUUUCUUGAAGUCCUCCAUCAUCAUGAUCAAAUGUGAUUUUAAAUCUAGUUCUUGCUUUUCUGGUGUGUUUGGAUAUUCAGUGUUUGCUUUGGUGGGAGAAUUGUGCUCUGAUGAUGGCACGUAGUCUUGGUUUCUGUUACUUGGGUUCCUGCGCUUGCCUCUUGCCAUCAGGUUGUCUCUGGUGUUACCUUGUUCUGCUAUUUCUGACAGUGGCUAGACUCUCCUAUAUGCCUGUGUGUCAGGAGUGCUGUAGACCUGUUUUCCUGUUCUUUUUCAGCCAGUUAUGGGAACAAAGUAUUCUGUUUUCAGGCAUGUAGUCGUUCCUGUCUACUGGUCUUCAGGUGUUCCUGUGGGCUUGUGUACUGAGUCCACCAGGAAGGUCACUUGGAGCAGAAAAGUUGGUCUUGCCUCUUAUCUCGGGUCUGGAGUUGCUUCUCAGAUCAGGGUUUCAGCUCUCUGUGAGGGAAGCAACCAGAAGGGCCUGCUCUGCCUUAGCUCGGGUCCCUGUGCACAGGGGGCCCAGAUGGCACUAGGGGUUUCCUUCUAGCAUCAGAAAUGUGGGCAGAGAGUAGUCACCUCUGGCUUCCCUGGCAUGUCUGCCCCUUUGAAGGUCUAACUCUCCGUCCCACGGGAUUGGGUGCAGAUAGCUGUUUGACUGGAUCCCUUCAGAUCCAGGAGGUGUCUGGAUGGCAGCAAUGAGUGCCCCUAUCUUCCUGUUCCCAGAGGCCCUAUAAGGUUUCCUAUUGUGCCAGGGACAUGGGUAGGGGUAGCCAGUACUAGAGGUCUCUCCUGCCCUGCAGUCUCAGGAGUGCCCACCUGUCUGGGCUGUGAGCUCUCUCUCCCUUUGGUUUGGGAGCAGGGAGCUGUGGGCCUGGAUCAGUGAGGUUCGGUCCCCAGCUAGAAACUGGAAGUGCCUGGUCACAGAGGAAUUUUGCCUUUGUGAGUCCUGAGUCCAUCAGGCAGGUCACUUGGAGCAGAAAAGUUGGUUUUACCUCUGGUCUUGGGCCUUGAGUCAUUUCUCAGAUCCGGGUGUCAGCUCUCUGUGAGGGCAGCAACCAGAAGGGUCUGCCCACCUUCGGAGGAAAUUUAAGGUAAAGAAGUUUGGGGUGGUAGUGCAUAACUGCAACUCUGGCACUUGAGGCAGAAGAGUCAGGAGUUCAAGUCUAGCUGUACCUUCAUAACAUUGGAGGCACAUCUGUCACAAUCAGACCGGCAACAAAAACAGAUAAAAAGGAAAAAAAUGGUUAUUUCACUGCUAGUUAACAAUGUGAUACUGUCACUAAAUAUUAUACAUAAUAUACACAUCUUCCUAACAGGAAUUUAAACUGUAUUUUAAAAUCCAACUUUCCUUUUUUUUUUAAAAAAAUUAUUGCAUAUAUUUCUAUCUUUUUACCUUUUUUAACCCACAAAAAUCCAACAUUCUUAUCUUUAAACCUAUCUUUUAGAACGAGGAGGUCUAUUUCUCCAAGAACAUUUAUAGUUACUGUGCUCCAUAAACACUCCACUGUGCUACUUACUGUAUUUGUUUAGUUAAGCUCAGGUCUAGCAGCUGUUGGGGGUGGGGGAGUGUCAAUGUCUGAAGAGCAAGUGGCAUGCUCCUGUGUGUGAAAAAUCACUGAGAGAUUCAAACAUUCUCAAAAUGAAGGCUGUUGUGAAGUUGUAAGUCUGUAACCUGCCUCUCAAAUCUUUGGGAUUUUAAAUUAUUUGCAUAUUUCACAGUAUUUUAUAAUGUUUUGAGACUGUGCAUUACCUAAACACUGAAAAUCAGCUGCCAGAGAGUUGGCUGUUAUCACUUAUUUUUAGUCAGAAAGCUGUGCUUGUUCAUAUAGUUGUUUUCCCAGCUGAAAUAACAUAGCAGAUUGGUGAUGUUUGAACACUGUUAAUUAAUGAAUGCUCCUAACCUAGUAAAUAGGUCUGCCUAACUGGAGGCCAAACAUAACCUCAACAAAACAGACCAUGUUUGAUAAGAUAAACACUCUACUAACCUUAAAUCUUCCCUCUAGAUAAUUUUUCAGUGAUAUGAAAUAUUAACCUAAAAGUGUUGUAUUUUCCAUUUAGGUUUGGAAAAUCUGUUUGGUAUAUGAAGAAAGAAAGUGUCAAUGUAUGAGCAGUAGACCAAUGUGGAAUUCUUCAAAGUCUUGCCUCAAUACUUCAUCCUGAUUUCUGAACUCAUAGAUGUUUGUCAUAUCCAGCUGCCUUUAUAAAGAGAAGCGUGUUGUUCUGUCUCAGUGUCAUAGAUAGUAGGGAAGAAGGAUAGAAGAGCAGUAUGGAUGGAAGUGAUCCACUGGGUCCUUAUGACAGUGAAUGAAGACACCAUUGGAGGAGAGAAAAUGUACAAAACUUGCAGAUAGACCAGACCUUAUUGGAUUUGUUAUGAUAUUCUGAUAAUUUCUGAAAUGCAAAAUAAGCCUUCUUUAGAAAGAGGCAGAAGGACAGACACACAGACACAUACAGAGAGACAGAGACAAACAGAGACAGACAGAGAGACGGACUCGGGUGAGGGGAAGAGCAGAGGAAGAGAAGUCCUUUAUUUUCAAGGUUAGCCCAUUAGUUACUUGUGUUUUUAAAAACUAAGCAAUAUUUUACAUUUAAACAUAUUCUUUUUUAAGUGGCCUUUAUUUGAGAAAGCGUGUAUUUUUUUUUAACUAUUUGUUUAAUUUUACUUUAUGUUCUAUGGUGUUUUGCCUACAUGUAUGGCAUGUCUGUGUGAUGAUGUACGGUCCCUGGAACAGGAGUUACAAAUAGUUGUGAGCUGCCAUAUGGGUGCUAUGAUUUGAACCCAGGUCCUUUGAAAGAGCAGCUAGUGCUCUUAACCACUGCACCAUCUCUCCAGUAACUAAACACUCAAGUACUCAAUGUACUCAAGUUUCCUUUUUAUGCUUUUUUUUAUUCUAAAUAAGUACUUGUUGUGGUUUGCCCUGGAGUUAUCUGUAUUCUGAUGCUAUUUCCACUGCUUUGGGUAAAGCUUCUAGAGCUUUUGUCACUGGUGAUUUUAGAUUCUCAUAACUUCUCAAAAGACAAAGAUGACUGUUGUAUGCUCUUUCAUAAGUGGCCUGUAAAUAUCACUUCCUCCAAGUUCAAAGAACAUUACAGAGGAAAAGAAGGAAUGAAUAAAGACAGAAAGAAUAUAAAAGCAAAGGAAAGUUGUAGGAAAAGACUUGAAAUACUGACUUGUAUACAUUUCAUAACUGUUAAAAAGUUGUGGUUUGCCCUGAAGUUAUCUGUAUUUUGAUGCUAAUUCCACUGCCCCAAGGACAGCUGCCUAGUCACUACUCAGGAAUCAGGUGACUUCACCAGAACCACCUCCCCAUUGAAUUUGUAAAGUACAGGUGAGGGGCAGGUACAGAAUAGAAGGAGGCCUGUCAUUGGAGGAGAAGGAAGGAUGGGCGGGAGAGAAGUUUGAAGGAGGAGGAGGAGACUAGAGAGAGAGGAAGAGACAGGACACAGAAGAGAGAGUGGGGAGAAGCCAUGGCAGGUGAUGUUAAGAUUCUGCUCUGUGUAUUUACAGGUUGUUAUUAAUGUUCUCAAGGGAUGGAUGGUACUGGGCUUUGUAUGUUUAAGUGGGCAAUUAUAUCUUAUCAAUUGGGUCAAAGAUUAUUGUGUUGUGUGUUCUUUUAUGUGAGGGUUUGAGUGUAGGAAAGUGUGUGGCUGGGAUGUGUUUCUGCCAAGAUAUCUAGCAGAUAUCUUGGGGCACCGUGGUGCGGACCAAGCAGGGUAAAAGACAACCGUACUCUUUUAUUUUUAUACUUUUACAACAGUUAAACUCUUACAUUCACAGGUUUACUUGCACAUGAUCUCCUAAGAUUGGUCCCAACAAAAUCUUGACAUGGAGGUUUCAUGUCUAGAUAAAG